UGCCUGUGUAGUUUGAGGAACCUGACACCCAGAGAGAGUGUUCCUGGCUCUAGGUCCCUGGUCUUAUGAUUGCAGAUCCAGUCUUACCACAAUCCAGUCCACACUGCCUCUCCUCAAAGGGAGAAAGGGCAUUGCUGCUGAUCUCACCUCCUCCCUUCCCCCUUGGUGGUGGUGGGCCAGGACUCUUUGAAAGAGUGAUCAUGUGUUUAAUUAUUAGGUGAGUAACCGUGGGAGGCUUCCUGGCAGAUUAUUAAUAGAAGCUGAGGAAGGUGUGCGUGUUUAGCAGCAGGCCAGCAGUUUGGGAUGCCAGGCUGGCUUGGUCUCUGGGUUUCUGGAGUCACCUGAAUGACUUGACUCAUCUCCUGGCUGAGGGCUUGGCUUCUCACUUCUGAGACACCCCAUUCCCAAGGCAAAUUGCUGUCUUGCCUCUCUCCUUACACUCAUUUACAUCCUCUGUUGCCAUGCUGCCUGCAGGAGCUGAAGCUUCUAGACAAAGAGACCUAGGUUUAAUCCUUGCAGACUUUACCUACAUUGUCUAACCUGUUGGGACCUCAGUCUCCUCAUCUUUGAAAUGGGCAUGCCAAUAUCCAACUCGUCAUGAGGACUUAUGGAGAUGAUUGCCCAGCAGGCACUCAGGAAGCUGCCACCAUUGCAACUAGUAUCAUUCGGAGGCUGCCACGCUGGAACCUGCUGGCCACAGGCCCUGACAAAACUGUUCCUUUUCUGCAAAUGUCUUUCCCAGGUCUUUCCCCCUUUUCUCCAUGUGGCCCCUCCUUUGGAGUCCUUCUAGGCUGGCCUCUCCUGCCAAGUCUCCAUUGCCUAUGUGUCCCAGCAUCUCAGGAGGACUCUGCAAAAGCUUUGCCACCUUGCACCUGCUUGCCCGCUUGCUCAGUCACGUCCCACUCGUCGGCCACGUUCUCCAGGCAGCUGCGUCAGCCUUCCAAGAUGCAGAGUGAAAUGCAAUGACUGGAGCUCCAGCAGUUACCAUGGACCAUGAGGUGACCUUAGGCAUGAAACCAACACAGCACAGAACAACAGAGAAGGAAGCUGAUUCAUCAACACUCUGGGGCACCGUACCAGCCCAGACGGUUCCUCAGAAUGUCUUGGACACAACCAAGAAGUAAACAUCUGUGCUGCUUAAACUACUGUUAUUUGUUUUCUGUUCUGUUACUCAUAAUUAGACAUAAUCUAACGAAUGCAAGUCUCUAAUGAAGGUGUCCUUUAGAGGCCACAUAGAUUGGUCAAGAGCCCAGAACGUAAAUCCAGAUGCACUUGCUAAGGGUAUGACCUUAUACAAGCGACUUCACCAUCUGGAAUCUCAAUUUACUCAUCUGUAUAGUAGGGCUAGUAAUAGCAUUUAUCCUCCUCCUUGGUGCUCCCUACGGAGGUGGCAGCCAUCUCUUCCUCAGCAUCAUGGCCACCCUCAGAUCCCUUGUGAAGCCCAAGAUCGUCAAAAGGAGAACUAAGCAGUUCAUCCGGCACCAGUCAGAAUGAUACGUCAAAAUUAAGAGUAACUGGCAGGGAACUGGAAGUACUGACAACAGGGUUAGUAGAAGGUUCAAAGGCCAGAUCUUGAUGCCUAGCACUGGUUAUGGGAGCAAAAAAAACAAAACAAAACAAAAAUAACAACAAAGCACAUGUUUCCCAGUGACUUCCGGAAGUUCCUGGUCCAUGUCAAGGAGCUGGAAGUGCUGCUGAUUUGCAAAAUAUCUUACUGUGCUGAGAUGGCUCACGAUGUUUCCUCCAAGAACUGCAAAUCCAUCAUGGAAAGAUUCGCCCAGCUGGCCAUCAGAGUCACCAACUCCAAUGCCAGGCUACGCAGCAAAGAAAAUGUGUAGACAGCUCAUGUGUACGUUUUGUGUUUAAAUAAAGCUGUAAAAACUGCCCCA
rnacentral:lncRNA from 13 species